rnacentral:rRNA from 1 species
UACGUAGGGGGCGAGCGUUGUCCGGAUUUAUUGGGCGUAAAGAGCGUGUAGGCGGCUCGAUAAGUCUGCUGUGAAAGUCCAGGGCUCAACCCUGGAAGGCCGGUGGAAACUGUCGGGCUAGAGUCCGGAAGAGGCGAGUGGAAUUCCCGGUGUAGCGGUGAAAUGCGCAGAUAUCGGGAGGAACACCAAUGGCGAAGGCAGCUCGCUGGGACGGUACUGACGCUGAGACGCGAAAGCGUGGGGAGCAAACAGG